GAUGAACGCUAGCGGGAGGCUUAAUACAUGCAAGUCGAACGGUAACAUGGGACUUCGGUCUUGAUGACGAGUGGCGCACGGGUGAGUAACGCGUACACGACCUACCUUACACUGGGGCACAUACACUGGAAACGGAGUAAAUACCCCAUAGUAUUAUGGAUUUAAUUUGUAAUUAAAGUUUCGACGGUGUAAGAUGGGUGUGCGUACUAUUAGGUAGUUGGUAGGGUAACGGCCUACCAAGCCGACGAUAGUUAGGGGGCGUGAGAGCGUGGUCCCCCACACGGGUACUGAGACACGGACCCGACUCCUACGGGAGGCAGCAGUAAGGAAUAUUGGACAAUGGGCGAAAGCCUGAUCCAGCCAUCCCGCGUGAAGGAUGACGGCCCUCUGGGUUGUAAACUUCUUUUGUAUGGGACGAAACGCCUUCAUUUAUGAGGGCCUGACGGUACCAUAAGAAUAAGCACCGGCUAACUCCG
rnacentral:rRNA from 1 species